rnacentral:rRNA from 1 species
UACGUAGGGUGCAAGCGUUAAUCGGAAUUACUGGGCGUAAAGCGUGCGUAGGUGGUUGUUUAAGUCUGUUGUGAAAGCCCUGGGCUCAACCUGGGAACUGCAGUGGAAACUGGACAACUAGAGUGUGGUAGAGGGUAGCGGAAUUCCCGGUGUAGCAGUGAAAUGCGUAGAGAUCGGGAGGAACAUCCAUGGCGAAGGCAGCUACCUGGACCAACACUGACACUGAGGCACGAAAGCGUGGGGAGCAAACAGG